AACGAACGCUGGCGGCAUGCCUAACACAUGCAAGUCGAGCGAAGCCUUCGGGCUUAGUGGCGCACGGGUUCGUAACGCGUGGGAAUCUUCCCCUUUCUUCGGAAUAACAGUUAGAAAUGACUGCUAAUACCGGAUGAAGUCUUCUGACCAAAGAUUUAUCGGCCAGGGAUGAGCCCGCGUAGCAUUAGGUAGUUGGUAGGGUAAAGGCUUACCAAGCCGACGAUCCUUAGCUCACCUGAGAGGGUGAUCAGCCACACUGGGACUGAGACACGGCCCAGACUCCUACGGGAAGCAGCAGAAGGGGAUCUGCCGCAAGGGGCGAGAGGGUGACGGAGCAACGCGGCGUGAGUGAUGAAGGUCCUCGGAUCGGAAAACUCUGAUAGUAGGGAGGAAAAAAUGUGUAAGUAACGAUGCACAUCUUGACGGUACCUGAACAGAAAGCCCCGGCUAACUACGUG
rnacentral:rRNA from 1 species